AGAAUCAACGCUGGCGGCGUGCCUAACACAUGCAAGUCGAACGAGAAAGUGGAGCAAUCCAUGAGUAAAGUGGCGACCGGGUGAGUAACACGUGACUAACCUACCUUCGAGUGGGGGAUAACCUCGGGAAACCGGGGCUAAUACCGCAUAAUACCUACGGGUCAAAGGAGCAAUUCGCUUUAGGAGGGGGUCGCGGCAGAUUAGUUAGUUGGCGGGGUAAUGGCCCACCAAGACAGUGAUCUGUAU
rnacentral:rRNA from 1 species